GUAGUCUGNAACCCGACUACAUGAAGCUGGAAUCGCUAGUAAUCGCGGAUCAGAAUGCCGCGGUGAAUACGUUCCCGGGUCUUGUACACACCGCCCGUCACACCAUGGGAGUCGGAAAUGCCCGAAGUCAGUGACCCAACCGUAAGGAGGGAGCUGCCGAAGGUGGAGCCGGUAACUGGGGUGAAGUCGUAACAAGGUAAC
rnacentral:rRNA from 1 species